GAUGCAGCCAUGCCGCGUGUAUGAAGAAGGCCUUCGGGUUGUAAAGUACUUUCAGCAGUGAGGAAGGUGGUGUAUUUAAUAGAUGCAUCAUUUGACGUUAGCUGCAGAAGAAGCACCGGCUAACUCCGUGCCAGCAGCCGCGGUAAUACGGAGGGUGCGAGCGUUAAUCGGAAUUACUGGGCGUAAAGCGCAUGCAGGGUGGGAUGAUUAAGUCAGAUGUGAAAAGCCCCGGGGCUCAAACCUCGGAAUAGCAUUUGAAACUGGUCAUCUAGAGUACUGUAGAGGGGGGUAGAAUUUCAGGUGUAGCGGUGAAAUGCGUAGAGAUCUGAAGGAAUACCGGUGGCGAAGGCGGCCCCCUGGACAGAUACUGACACUCAGAUGCGAAAGCGUGGGGAGCAAACAGGAUUAGAUACCCUGGUAGUCCACGCCGUAAACGAUGUCUACUUGGAGGUUGUGGCCUUGAGCCGUGGCUUUCGGAGCUAACGCGUUAAGUAGACCGCCUGGGGAGUACGGUCGCAAGAUUAAAACUCAAAUGAAUUGACGGGGGCCCGCACAAGCGGUGGAGCAUGUGGUUUAAUUCGAUGCAACGCGAAGAACCUUACCUACUCUUGACAUCCAGAGAACUUUCCAGAGAUGGAUUGGUGCCUUCGGGAA
rnacentral:rRNA from 1 species